rnacentral:rRNA from 1 species
GGUCCGAGCGUUGUCCGGAAUUAUUGGGCGUAAAGGGCUCGUAGGCGGUUUGUCGCGUCGGGAGUGAAAACACCGGGCUUAACUCGGUGCUUGCUUUCGAUACGGGCAGACUAGAGGCAUUCAGGGGAGAACGGAAUUCCUGGUGUAGCGGUGAAAUGCGCAGAUAUCAGGAGGAACACCGGUGGCGAAGGCGGUUCUCUGGGAAUGUCCUGACGCUGAGGAGCGAAAGUGUGGGGAGC